GAAGGCCUGGACUAGGCAGCCUCUCAGCCAAGCCGACUUUCCAGGCCCUCACAGCCCUGUCACCUACACUUCUCGGGCGUGUUUUUCUCAGUGACGUGUGGGUGGUGUGCGUGGAGUGGCCUGGAGAGAGGAGCAACACACUCAGACUCUUCCUGAACAGGGCUUGAGCGCCCCUGAGAGGACAAGAAUGUGUGGAAGACCAGAGGGGAGACAUGGAACCACCCAGAGUGCUGGACUCCCCCCCCCCCCCAGCCGGAGGCUGGAGUUCAAUGAGCACCUGGUGGAGAGAAGGAACAGCAGGAGUGGGCAGCCACACCCAGUGUUGGGAGGAUUCCAAGCCUCGGGCAAUGUAAAAGGCACUCCCUUCUCUAACCAGAAUUGGCCCGGAAAUGAAUAAAUACCCAUAAAAAAAUCA